ensembl:lncRNA
AAAACUUAUCACAUAGGAGGGAUUAAUCACGCUACCAAAAUUAGAAAGCAUGUAGUUCUGAGAGACUGAAUGUCCAAAUUGGAUGCUCAUAGCACUUAAACUCUUGAGCAUCUAGAAUCCACUACAACAUUUAAAAUGGCAGCUGAUGUCUGUGGGAACCCUGGAUGUUUAGGAGCUGGCUAAAGCUAGAGUUCUCAUACUCUUUGAUUAAGGGCACCACUUUCAGAUAAAAACAUAGACCUGAAUGGCAUCAUCCAGUAUCCAAGGAAACCAUGUAACAUGCACAACCGGUUUGUUUGAACAACAAGAACAUGUUAAAUUCAAGCCUUCCUAUGGAUUUGCUCUUUUCUCACUUCUGGUUGAAAUCUUAGUCAUCCCCACUGAUAUCUGCACCAUUUCCCGAUAUCAAAAAAGGAGGCUUUCAGUGCAAGAGUGGUGGAUGGCAGGGAUCAAAUUUAAACCUGUGAUUUUGGAGCUUACUCAUCAGAGGAGAAAUAUCAUGAGCUAUUUGCUCUCUCUGCUGUAACACAGCUCUGGCACGCCUGGAAGUUAUGUUGAGAUCGUCAAAUCUACAGUCAAGGACCAUCUUUGUGAAUCAUGAAACCAUAUGCCACUGGUUGUCUGAAUUGAAAGAAAAAAAACAACAAAAACAAAAACCCCAACUCUACACCAAUGAAACUAGUGAUGUGAUCAGACAGUGCCAGGGGCCAUUUGACCAUCUUAUACCUUCUCAAUCUAUACAUUAAAAAGAAAUCUCUGCUAUUGCCUGAGCCAUGUAAAAUACCAGAACUCCUGUAGUGCUAACAAGGAAUAAAGAUCUUGCACCAGAUGGUGCCUCUUGUCUCCAUCUAUCUCUAGCCCAAACAAUCUGCCAGAGUUUUGAAGAAAAAUGCAAUGUGAUCGUGUUGCAAAGUAUAUGAAGAAACAGUAUGAAAAGUAAUCUGGCUCAAGCAGUGGAACCCAGAAGGAAAGGGAUUAUUAUGACUCUUUGAGCCUAUGGAUGAGGGUGCUGUUAUCUCUGCACAUUAGUCCAUAAAACAAAUGGUACAUCCAGGCACAGCUGGAAGGAGAGUAUCUCACUGAGAUGUCUCUUCGCAUCUCUGCAACAUUUUGAUAUUAGUCAAUCUGGUUGAAAUUUCAGGAAUUCAUCUGGAUAUUUUGUUUAUAUAACAAAAUAAACAGUUUGAUGACUUUUUAAAAACUUACUAGCUAUAAAGGGAUAGUGCACAGAAGAAUUAUAUUAUUUAAUAUGUUUUUCUGUAUCAUCUCGCAUACUGAAUUUGUCCAUAUUAAUGAUGAGAACUUGCAUACAGUUUCUAUGUCCCUUUUGCAGAAUAUUCUUAAAAUUUUCUUUAAUAAGCUUGUAUGGGCUUUUUGGUCAUUUCUCUGCUUCUCAUUAAGACUUUUGUGACCACAAUGUUUUCAAAUAUCUUCUCAUCCUCUCAUACUUCUAUCAAGAUAUUGGUACCUCUUUGCCAUAAGACCUUUGACAGUUUUAUCUAACACCUAUAGGAUUUGAAAGUGCUUUAUGAUCAGCGGAUAUUUACUGGAGAGAAAAGACCUUCCCAGGUCCUUUCUAGAUGCAACUCAUCUGAACAGACAAUAUAAUUUUAUUUUACUUGUGGUGCUUGGACUGGAAUGAUGUAAAUGACAAGCCUAGAAAAUAAUGGUGAUUUGAUAGAAGGUAGCUCAUUGGUGCUAUUCAGAGUGUGGUCUUCAGACUGAUUCUGAUUGGCAAACUGAUAAAGGUCUAUGAUUAGACAAAUGCAGAAAUUGAGAGUCAGCAUUUAGAAAUUUCUACAGCAAUUUGACAUGGCUGUGACAUCCAAGCAUGUGAUCACUUCUCCAGAAGUUCAUUUUAGUUUAGUUUACCAAAGUAUCAGUCCAUGAUGGAUUGGAGGAAAUAAAAACUCUGUUCACUAAUUGUGUUCAGACAGCUUACGAAGCACCACUUUAGAGUCCAUAAUUUCAUGAUUUUGUGUAAGAUGAGAUUGAAGUAGAGACAAUGGAUCCACACACAAAGAGAAGGUUAUAGCAAUCAUCUAGUUACACGUUAACCAUGACUCAGGAGCUUUACUGGGAGUUGUCGAAGGAAAGGAAUACGUAUAUCUUGGAAAUGUUACAUGGAGAAGGAAUAAGAUAUAGUCUUGAACUGAGCAGGCCAUGUGACAAGGAGACAAAUGCUGCCCCGGCAUUAGCCUAGAUGGUGCUGCUGCCGAUAGAUGUAGAAAAGCUUCAUUGGAAAGACAGCCUCAAAAACACUAGGAAUUCUGGCUUUUUAAUUCUGAGUCAGUGCUGGCAAAACAUCCAUUUAGAAAUUUGCAGUGAACCAUGAAAGACUAUGGACCUCACUGAAGAGUUCAAUAUUAGAAAUUUAGAACAGACGGGAAAUUCUUCCUGAUAGCUGUCCUGAGAAAGAGAAGUUUUCUUCUUCACAUUUUCUCAAGUUUGAGAUGAGAUAACGCUAUUUGCAACUUAUCUUCUUUUUCAUUAUAAGGUAGAUACAAUACCUCAUGGGCGUGGAUGAAAGACACGUUCUCAGUACACUCCUGCCUUUGUGGGAUAUGUUGGCAUAUUCCACGCACUGAAGAAACGCCAUGGCUAGGUUAGCCCAUAAUAAGAGUAGCGAAGUCUGCUUAAUGAUGGUGUAUUUAAAUGAUGCUGGAAAUAAAACUUUUUUUGGUAUCUCAGAUUCGAAUGUUGUCAUGGAAAUAUUAUUAGAAAUAAGUAGUGGUAAACUCUCUUCAGGUUAUUUCCAUAACACCUUUUCUUUUUUUCUUCUUUAACCUCUUAAUAGAGUUGAAAUAAUGUUUUUAGUGCCAACAAUAGUAUCAUUAUGAUUUCUGAUUUCUAGUUGUAGUAUUAUAAGUGAUAUUGUUAAUUGUGUUUUAAACUUUUUGUCAGUUAGUAGGUUUUUUAUGGGCUGUGAUAAUGAUCCAUAUGGACAACUGUUUAUAUCGUUGCUUUUAUGGAAAUCCUAUGCCAGAGUUGAGGCUAGAGGAAAGGUUGGUACUUCGUCUAAUUCAUCACACACACACACACACUCACACACACACACACACACAACUACCAGAUGAUCUCUUUUGACUCCUUGGUGCAAGUAGCAAAGGAAAUGUUGGGACUCAGGUAAAGAUUCAUCUCUCUAGGUCUUGGAGAGCCUGCAGUUCACCCAAAAUGUGGAUUGUUUGUUUUUAAAGAUGCAUCAUAGAAGUACUGGCUUCACAGUUGGAAAGAAAUCCUUGUCAUUUUAUCUUCUUUUAUCAAAUACCUAACCCAGUUCCAUUUUAGCCCUGCUGCCCAGGGAAGAGGCACAGUUCCACCUGCUGCUGGCCUCUGAGGGGAGUGGGGAGUAGAAUGAUAGCUCUCCCUGAGCUUUGGGAAGUGUGUUGCUUGCUGAGUUUAACCUCACAUUGAACCAAUGGCAGAGGCCAAGACAACGUCAGCUAAAUAAUCUCCCUUUUAGCUCAUUAACACAUAGGAAAUGUAUAGGCAAAGUUACACUUUCUGUUUUAUUUUUUCCUUUUUCUUUCUUGACCAUCCUUCUAAAACUUCCCACUGCUUCUGCCUUCAUGUCUUUGUGCUCUUCCCUCUGUAUGGGCAUCGUUUGAUGGGCAGGGAGCGCCUGCUUUCACAUUGCUCGUCAUCUGAGCUGUCGUCUCGCGUGCAGGGUAUUUCAAUGCGAUUGCAUCUCUAUUCAUCUACUGACAGAAGUGGCAAUGAUGCAGACAGGGAUAUUUGUUAUUGAAACAAACAAAGCGUGUGGUGUUAUAGAUUCGUAUGUAAAACCUUCACAACAAAACUAAGUAGCUAUUUACUUUAAAUAUGCCAAUUAACUGUUACUAAUGUACAGUGCAAUUCUAGGUUAAGGAUGAUUGAUAGUAACACGCCGUGAAAUGUUCUUAAACUACAGUCAGGAAAUGUAAAUGUACAAAAUGGAAAGAACCAGCGGCUGACAGCACUAGUUACAUGUUUCAAAACAACACUUUCAAAUUGUUCCUUUAUUGUUCUUUCAUCCUUUCUCUAUUCUGCACUUCUACAGCCUGGUAGCCAACAGUAUACUAAGAAAGUUCUGGAAAAGAGAAAAUGUUUUAGUACGAAGUAAACAUCAUGGGCCUAAUCUCAUCUGUUUCGCUCAGGCAGAACUCUUAGGAACCACAGUGGGAGUUUUGCUUGACUGAAGAGAAUAGUCUUGUCUCUUUUAAAUGUCUGACAUUGAAUCUGUCGCUAUUACACCACUAAUUAAAAGGAGAGUUGACUUCUCCUUACUUGCUAUGUCCUGUCUAUGUGCAGUCACUUCUUCAUUUGCUCUGAGCAGCACCAUCCAAAAGAAAUACAAAGAAAGCCACAAAUACUAGCCACAUAUAUAUUCUUAAAUUUUCUAAGAGCCAGAUUUAAAAAGUAAAAGUAAACAGGUGACAUUAAUUUUAAGAACAUUUAUUGAGCCUGAUAGAGCCAAGUUAUUAUCAUCUUAACAUAUAAUCAAUGUAAAAUAGGAAUAAGGUAUUUUGUGUUCUUUUCUUCAUACUAAGUCUUAGGAAUCUGGUGUGUAUUUUAUGGUUACAGCUUAUGCCAGUUCAGGUGAACCACAUCUCAAGGUUUUGGUGGCUUUCCGUGGCCAGUGUCUACUGUAUGGGACAGCAUAGCUCUAUAUGUCACCAUUUGACGAUCAGUCUAAUAUCUGUGAUUAAAAUGUUUACACUGGGCAGUCAGGAAAAGCUGGGUAUGCAUCCUCAAUCAGCGCAAUGAUACAAUUUCUGUUCAAUUCUGCCAGUUACUGCUAAAGCCCACCACCUUUUUGGAGAAAGAUUAGUCAAAUUUCAUAAACUCUGCCAGCUGCCUGAUGAUUUUAUACAGCUACCUGGCUGUUAAAUACUAAAGUGUCUGUAGCAGGGGUACUAUGUAAAUAUUCUUUUAGUAAAAUCUCAAAAGAAAAAAAGGAAUUACUUACAAAAUAAAAACAUAACAUCAAAGUCCUUUUGGUUUGCAUCAUUUAAAUGUCAGUUGAACAUUUUCAUGAUGCAUUUCAUGUUCCUCACAACAAUGAAAGUUGAGUGUGUAUUGUUAGAAAAACAAUCAGUAAGUGCAGAUAUUGUCAAAUGAACCCUCUGAGAUGGAAAAUUGGAUCUACUUAACUCCAGUUAAUUAUUUAUUAACACCAACUGUAAACUAAAAAAUGUAAUGCAAACACGAUUAAGCAGAAAUUGAACAUCCAACAAGGAGGAGAUAAUAAAAGAGAAGCUAUUUUUUUGGAAUGAUAGGAUUUUCCACAAUCAGACUAAUUGUAUUAAUUUAGUAUCUCCUGUGUGCCACACCCUGGUAAAUGCUGUGGAGGUAAAUGAUAACAACAAUAGCAACACAAUUAUGUCAUACUUGUUCAGAUUUGGGGAGGACGUUUGUGCAACGAGCAAUCUCCAAAACAAACCAUAAUAAACUAAGUGCUGUAAUUAAGGUGAUUAUCAGAAGUACUGAAAUAAUCCAUAAGUGUGUAAUCUUUGAAGAAUCAUGGAGAAUUGUGGAAAGGCACCCAUUUCCGCCCCUUCCCUGCUCUGCUCUGGCCCCCGUCCUAGCUGCGUUUCCCAGAUUUCUGUGUCAGCUGACUCUCCAGUGGGUUCAGCCAGUGGGAAACCACGGUGGGAGAGUAAAGGGCUGGAGGAAGGGUAAAGCCAGGUUGUUUUCCCUGUUUCUUGGUGCCUCAGGUUAUAUCUCUGGGAAUGUCUCAAGGAAUGUCUUUUCUGUAGGUGCAAUGCCUGCUCUGCAUUGCUGUCACAGUUCUGUCUUCCUCUGGGUAACCCUGACUCCUGGCCCUGAUGUCACAGACUUCUCCCUUUUCUCCUCUAGUCUGGAAGUGCUAGUGAUUUGCUGCUAUUUCUGCUCUCUGGCUGGCCUCCUCACUCCCUGUUUAGUGAGCCUUUGUGCUUCUGUGUAACCAAUUCCCUGUAUUAAAUCCACCGCCUUCCCUCAUUUUAAAUACUUAGAGCUGCCACACCCCCACGCCCCAGUUGAAUUGUGACUGAUAUGAAAUAUAGAUUCUGGAAACAAAAAUGAGCAAAGUUCCAACUGAAUUAUUAAACAGAUUGCUUAGGUGCACCCAAAAGUAGGCAGUGAUUACUAAGAGCCAGCAUGAGUUUUUAGGAGCAAUCAUGACCAGUUCCCUUUGCUUCUUUAAUCGGUGGUUGAAGAAAUAUUGGCAUUAGUACAUGAGCAAGGCCUUUGAAGUGAUCUCUCAUGAUGUCCUUGUGGUUAAUAGACACAUGUGUGCUGGAUGAUACAGAUUUAGUCAGGUUUAGAGGCUGUACUGGAAAAUACCUAGAGGGAACCAUGGCUGCCUUUCAAUAUUUGAAGAGGGAUUAGAUUAAAUCUUUGAAACACUAGAGGCCAGAGCCAGGAUCAAUGUUUGAAGUUCAGGGAAUCUGAUUUUGGCUCAGUAAAUGGAAGUGCGUUCUAAGAAUUAGACUUCUUCAGAAAUGGAAUAGGCUGUCUAUGAGGGAGAUGAUUUCUGUCCGUGGUUGUAUCCAGACAGAUUUUACCUGUGAGGGAUGGAGUAAAGCGGAUUCCUGCAUUGAACUUGAAAUAGAUUAUUCUGAAAGUCUCUUCCGACUCUGAAAGCUUAAGAACUUGUGAAUAUCAUCAUCCAUGCUUGAUACUAGCAUGGCACCAAAUGUAAUUUUGUCAUUUGAUGAGACUUCAGAAGGAGCCCCAAAACUUGCUCUGCCUCUGGGUGAUCAUGGUUAAUAUAAGAGAUCACUGUCCUAGUAAAGAACCAAUUAAUCAAAUUUCCUGGUUUACAGAAGCACAAAUAUACUAUUUUCAGUUCAAAGAGAAAAUAUUUUUCUCUAGACAAUCAGCAUAAAAAUAAAGGGGCAUAAAGCCUGUGCAAAUACUAC